CGCGGAACUGAAAGUGAGAGGUGGUUCUGGUGCUCCGUGUGUGGAAAAGUGAAAAGGACAGGGGGAAGACGUGCGCGUAAAAACCCAGGAAGCCUGUGCGCUUACAUCAAUGCCCUCAGCUAGGCCACUGAGAGGACCCCCGCAUCUCUCUUCUUCCUGCCCACCAACACCUGACAGAAACAGAGGCAGAGUGGCUCAGAGUCUCAGGAUAAGCCUCAUGUUUUAUUUGUGAAAAUUGGCCCCAUUGUCCCAUAAGUCACCUCACACAGCACUCUUCGUCUUCACGCCACACUGAGCCUGUCCUGGAGCAUCAGCAUCAUCACCCGCUGCUAGAGCACUCAGAUUGUGUUCUGCGUGUCCUCUGUGGUGCAGCCAAACAUCCACCCGUAAUUCCUAAGAAACUGUGAAGCUUUUUCUUCCACACACACUAAGUGCUGGACACAUCCGUGAUGUUUCAUGAAUACUUUGUCCACUAAACAGUCCUCUUCAUAAAUACCAUACGACCAGUCGACAGCUGGGAGUUCAGUCUGCUCAGGAUUUCUUGAACUUGGAAAUAUAAAGACCAAAGGGACGACAAAAGAAGAGUGGGCAGAGAAU